GAGUUUGAUUAUGGCUCAGAACGAACGCUGGCGGCGCGUCUUAAGCAUGCAAGUCGAACGGUAAGGGAGAGCUUGCUCUCCCCUAGAGUGGCGGACUGGUGAGUAACGCGUGGGUGACCUGCCCUGGAGAUGGGGAUAGCUAGUAGAAAUAUUAGAUAAUACCGAAUAAGCUCAUUAACAUAAAGGUUGAUGAGGAAAGGAGCUACGGCUCCGCUUCAGGAUGGGCCCGCGUCCCAUUAGCUAGUUGGUGAGGUAAAGGCCCACCAAGGCAACGAUGGGUAUCCGGCCUGAGAGGGUGAACGGACACAUUGGGACUGAGAUACGGCCCAAACUCCUACGGGAGGCAGCAGCUAAGAAUCUUCCGCAAUGGACGAAAGUCUGACGGAGCGACGCCGUGUGAAUGAAGAAGGCCGAAAGGUUGUAAAAUUCUUUUGCAGAUGAAGAAUAAACACAGGAGGGAAUGCCUG
rnacentral:rRNA from 1 species